AAGUCGUAACAAGGUAUCCGUAGGUGAACCUGCGGAUGGAUCAUUAACACAACCCCCAAAAAACUCUUGGGUUGGAAAAGAGAACUUUUGGUUCUCUCUACCUUCCCAUUGAAACCCCACUAUUUGCGAACUUGUCAACGGCGCUGGGAUGAGUUUGAGGAAACUCUCUCUCAUUCCAACCAACCGUUCGUUUUUUUCUCCCUUUCACUCUUAUUAUAAACAAAAACCCAAACCAAAACAACUUUGUCUAAAAAAAACUGGUUUCUGCUUUUACGAAAGUGCAGUAGAAACCAACUUAAAAAAAAAACUAAAAUACAACUUUUAACAACGGAUAUCUUGGCUCUC
rnacentral:misc_RNA from 1 species